rnacentral:rRNA from 1 species
UACGUAGGGUGCGAGCGUUGUCCGGAGUUAUUGGGCGUAAAGCGCGCGCAGGCGGCCUCGCGCGCCCGACGUGAAAGCCCCCGGCUUAACCGGGGAGGGUCGUUGGGGACGGCGGGGCUUGAGGGCGGGAGAGGGUGGUGGAAUUCCCGGUGUAGUGGUGAAAUGCGUAGAGAUCGGGAGGAAGACCAGUGGCGAAGGCGGGUCUCUGGACAGUUCCUGACACUGAGGCACGAAGGCCAGGGGAGCAAACGGG